GACGAACGCUGGCGGCGUGCUUAACACAUGCAAGUCGAACGGAAAGGCCUGCUUUCCCUUGUGGAUUGCGGGUACUCGAGUGGCGAACGGGUGAGUAACACGUGAGUGAUCUGCCCCCAACUUGGGUAUAAGCCUGGGAAACUGGGUCUAAUUCCCGAUAGGACUGCAGGGUGGUGCCUGUGGUGGAAAACGAUUUUCUAGUGGUUGGGGAUGAGCUCGCGGCCUAUCAGCUUGUUGGUGGGGUAAUGGCCUACAAAGGCGGCGACGGGUAGCCGGCCUGAGAGGGUGGACGGCCACAUUGGGACUGAGACACGGCCCAGACUCCUACGGGAGGCAGCAGUGGGGAAUAUUGCACCAUGGGCGGAAGCCUGAUGCAGCGACGCCGCGUGGGGGAUGACGGCCUUCGGGUUGUAAACUCCUUUCGACCGCGAGGAAGCCACCUGGUUGGAAGGGUGGUGACGGUAGUGGUAGAAGAAGCACCGGCUAACUACGUG
rnacentral:rRNA from 1 species